UACGUAGGGGGCUAGCGUUGUCCGGAAUCAUUGGGCGUAAAGCGCGCGUAGGCGGCCCGGUAAGUCCGUUGUGAAAGUCAAAGGCUCAACCUUUGAAAGCCGAUGGAUACUGCCGGGCUGGAGUCCGGAAGAGGCGAGUGGAAUUCCUGGUGUAGCGGUGGAAUGCGCAGAUAUCAGGAGGAACACCGGUGGCGAAGGCGGUUCUCUGGGCAUGAUCUGACGCUGAGGAGCGAAAGUGUGGGGAGCGAACAGG
rnacentral:rRNA from 1 species